UUGAUCUGGUCCCUGAGCUGUGGACUGACUUCCCUGCUUGACCUCAGCUCUGCUGUGAGUUUGCCUGCUGACCUGGCCUCCUGGCUGAAGCUGGGGCCCCAGUCUCUGGGGCUGCUCCAGUUGCUUUGUUUGGGAGUGGUGGGAUGGGGCCCUGGGCGGUGAGACCCUGCCCUGGCUCUCCACCCCUUAGGGAACGGCUGGCUCUUGUUGCUCCCUGGUAAUAAGAGCUUCUAAACCUUAAAUCUAAUUGCUUUCAAUGAAGUUUGGUGAGAUGACUUAUGGCAGGUAUUCAAGAAUUCAUUAAAUGCAUAAAAUCAUAGGUGUUAUGAAUGGUUUAAAAACAUAGGCAUAGUAUGUCCAGGUUAUCAGUGUGGAAGAUGCUCUUUGACCCCUUGACCGCCAAAUCAAGAAAGAAACCUGGGGAUGCUGUUUGUUAGAAAAUGAGACGAAGGUAGCAAUGUCUGCAAAGCAAUCUUUUAAUAUCUGAAACUUCCUGACUUAAGGAGGCUGUGAGUGUUUGCCACUCUGCAGGCAUAUGUGGAGCACAGGGGUUGUUAGAUGCCUGCACAGCGUACCGUGCUCAGCGUCUUCCCCCUGCUCCAGAAAGAGGUAAAUACAACUCCGUCAGCCUUGAGAUGCGCUUCGCGUGUACAGGGAGCUGAGCCGUCUCUCGCUGCACGCGUUGUUGGGGAGAGUGAGAGCUCCUCUUUAGAAAUGUAUAAGAGACUUCCUGGACGUGCAGGUGUUUACAGGAUAUGAAUAUCUUCCUGUGACAGCCAUCAUUCAUAGCUCUGCCUGCAAGAGGGAGUUAACACCCCAAAAGGACAAACGAGGAAGAAGAGCAGACAGUGUCAAUUUGGGUCAGAAAGGUUAUGGAUCUAUUCCGCUGAAUGAAGUGAUGACCAUAAACAGCACAGGGUUUACUGCAAAUUGGGGUUUAGAUUCAAAUUUCAGCAGCCGUUGCAAUUCACUUCUUGCUCUUACAUUUUCAAUCGUUUUCUCCCUCACCUUUUUAAGAAGGAGAGGAAUCCACGGUGAGCAUCCGCAGAGCCUGCACCAUUGUCUCGUGGUUACACCACUGUGUGCAUCACUCGCCGGCCUCUUCGCAUCAGCACAGCAUGGGGAAAACACUACACGAAGUUCCUUCAUUGUCCUUGUUGAAGUUAACCUGCACAGGGAUGGGUGCUGCCCUGGAGGAGAAAGGGGAUUAGCCCCUCAGAAGGCUCUUCAUCCGCAGAGAUCUGCAGGAGUCUCGAAAAUCCUCUAGGGUAGUUCUCCAUCUGUGCUUUGGGAUACGUGGUGUACGCAAACAAGAGAGGUUGAUAACUGGGCUAAGGAGCGAUGUCGACCUGGGAACAGACGAAAGAAUCCUCCUCUGAGCUAUCAGAAAGCUGACCGUCAUCCCUUCGCUGGUGGAUUUAUGCGUCCAGAGGUAUCGCCAUUCCUUCACUUUUGCACAGUAGGCCAACCCAAAGCUUGGGCAUCACUUAACAACCUGGUUUUUCAUACUAUCAGGAAAAAAAUCAUUUGGCAGAUGUAAACAGCUGAAAUGUCAGUGCUCUGAGUUGGACCAAGCUGUAGCAGCAGUGCAUUUGGCCUCACUUCCCCGCUUUGUCUUGUUGACAAGCAUGCAGACAGCUUGAACAUCAGAGCUGUUCCUUUAGGGUUGGUGGUUGUUUUAAAUAAGGAGAUCCUGCCUUGUCCUGAAAUAUGUGCAACUUGAGAUGGGCUGGAAACUUCUGAAAAAUGGCCUCCCUGGGUGAAGCCAAAGCAGUGGCAGCGUGUAGCUGGUGUUUUGUGAUGUUUUCAUUAAUCUUACUAUAGGACUGUCUGCACUGUUUUAUACUAUGUGUAUGUAUAACAAAGACUGUUCCUACUCCAAAAGAGCCCACAGCCUAAAGCCAUGCCUGCUUUAGAGCAAUCCACUGCAGCGUAUGUACUUCAAAGCUCUAUAAAGCCUUCGGUGUAGAUUUGCUACACAGAUGUAAUCUCUGAAAAUUGGUAGGUAUGAACAGAGGACGUUUUACGACGGAUUACAUCUAGUGCAGUUGGAUAGUUCUUUACAGCCAGGGCCUUAGUGUGCUGUGGUUCAUGAUGGUAAUUAGUUGGAUUGAGUUGCGCUGGUAUAAACAAAGUAAUAAUGAGACGGCUACAGUAAAUGGAAUAAGCAGCA